UACAGAGGGUGCAAGCGUUAAUCGGAAUUACUGGGCGUAAAGGGUGCGUAGGUGGCUUAAUAAGUUAGGUGUGAAAGUCCUGGGCUUAACCUGGGGAUUGCGCCUAAUACUGUUAAGCUAGAGUACUGUAGAGGAAGGUGGAAUUUCCGGUGUAGAGGUGAAAUUCGUAGAUAUCGAGAGGAACACCGGUGGCGAAGGCGGCCAACUGGACAGAUACUGACGCUGAGACACGAAAGCGUGGGGAGCAAACAGG
rnacentral:rRNA from 1 species